rnacentral:rRNA from 1 species
UAGUGGAUGGAAAGCAGGCGGAGAUUCCUGCACCCGUAUGUGGAGCGAUGGAGUGACGGAGACGGCUAAUGUGACCCUCUUAACGGAUUGAGGGCGAAGCGGGGUAGCGGUCGACCAGGCAAAUCCGGUCGGCAUAACGCGAAGACGUGACAGGGAAGCGAACGCUUUGGCAAGUAGCGAAGCACAUGAGGCCGGCUUCCAAGAAAAGCUUCUGGCAAUGCACAUGCGGCCCGUACCAAAACCGACACAGGUGGGCAGGUAGAGGAUACCAAGGUGAGCGAGAGAACUGUUGCCAAGGAACUCGGCAAAAUGGCUCCGUACGUUCGCAAGAAGGAGCGCUUAUGAAAAUAAGCCGCAGUGAAUAGGCCCAAGCGACUGUUUAACUAAAACACAGCUCUCUGCGAAGUCGCAAGACGAAGUAUAGGGGGUGACACCUGCCCGGUGCCGGAAGGUUAAGAGGAUCUGUCAAUCGCAAGAUGAAGCAGUGAGUUGAAGCCCCGGUGAACGGCGGCCGUAACUAUAACGGAAAGGCGUAACGAUUUGGGCGCUGUCUCGGCAGCAGGCUCGGUGAAAUCUUAGUACCUGUGAAAAUGCAGGUUACCCGCAACUAGACGGAAAGACCCCAUGGAGCUUUACUGUAGCCUGGUAUUGGAUUUUGGUCAGACAUGUACAGGAUAGGUGGGAGACUGUGAGACGUGCACGCCAGUGUACGAGGAGUCGCCGUUGGGAUACCACUCUUGUGUGAUCGGAGUUCUAACCUGGUGGCCUGAACCGGCCAUAGGGAGAGUGCCAGGUGGGCAGUUUGACUGGGGCGGUCGCCUCCCAAAGAGUAACGGAGGCGCCCAAAGGUUCCCUCAGCGCGGCCGGAAAUCGCGCGAAGAGUGUAAAGGCAGAAGGGAGCUUGACUGAGAGCCAAACACGGCGAUCAGGUACGAAAGUAGGGCUUAGUGAUCCGGUGGCAUCCAAGUGGAAGGGCCAUCGCUCAACGGAUAAAAGCUACCCUGGGGAUAACAGGCUAAUCUCUCCCAAGAGUCCAUAUCGACGGGGAGGUUUGGCACCUCGAUGUCGGCUCAUCACAUCCUGGGGCUGAAGUCGGUCCCAAGGGUUGGGCUGUUCGCCCAUUAAAGUGGUACGUGAGCUGGGUUCAGAACGUCGUGAGACAGUUCGGUCCCUAUCCAUCGCGGGCGCAAGAGAUUUGAAGGGGGCUGCUCCUAGUACGAGAGGACCGGAGUGGACGAACCAAUGGUGUACCAAUUAUCUCGCCAGAGGUAUAGUUGGGUAGCUACGUUCGGAAAGGAUAAACGCUGAAAGCAUCUAAGCGUGAAACCAGCCUUAAGAUGAGAUCUCUCAUAGAGUAAUCUAGUAAGACACCUUGGAGAAGACGAGGUUGAUAGGUCGGGAGUGUAAGUACAGUAAUGUAUUCAGCGGACCGAUACUAAUAUGUCGAGGGCUUGACUU